AUGCCUAUAAUUAACCUUUUUCUACUCAUUAUCCCCACUCUCAUCACCAUAGCAUUCCUUACACUCAUUGAAUGAAAAAUUUUAGGCUAUCUGCAACUAUGCAAAGGACCUAACAUUGUAGGUCCAUAUGGACUACAUCAAUCCUUUACAGAUGCAAUAAAACUUUAUAUUAAAGAAACUCUAUGACCAUUAGCAUCCACCAUUCCUCUAUACAUUAUCGCUCCAACCCUAGCCCUAUCUAUCGAACUCCUUAUAUAAAUUCCUUUGCCCAUACCAUACCCCUUACUUAUUCUUAAUAUAGGUCUCUUAUUCAUACAGCCACAUCAAGCCUAGCCAUCUACUCUAUCCUAUGUUGGGACAGGCACCCAAUUCAAAAUAUGCACUAAUUGGUGCACGACGGGCAAUAGCUCAAAAAAAUUCAUAUGAAGUUACCGUAGCUAUCAUUCUCCUGUCAGUCCUCUUGAUAAGUGGCAUAUUUAAUUUACCUACACUCAUCGUAACACAACAGUUAUCUGACUACUCCUACCAUCAUGACCUCUAGCCAUAAUAUGUUUCAUCUCCACACUAGCAGAGACUAACAGAGCCCCAUUUGACGUAACAGAGGGGGAAUCAGAGUUAGUUUCGGGUUUUAAUAUUGAAUAUGCCACAGGUCCAUUUGCCCUGUUCUUUAUAGCAGAAUAUAUAAAUAUCAUUAUAAUAAAUGCCCUAAUCACUAUUAUUUCUCUAGGAGCACUAUAUAAUAUUUAUAAACCAGAACUCUACACCAAAAAUUUCAUCACCAAAACCCUCCUUUUAACAACUUCUUUUUAUGAGUUCAAGUAUUGUACCCCUGAUUCAGUUAUGAUCAGCUCAUGCAUCUUCUAUGAAAAAACUUCUUACCACUCACUCUAGCACUUUGCAUAUGACAUAUUUCUAUGCCUAUCCUAAUAUCUAGUAUUCCACCUCAGACA
rnacentral:lncRNA from 1 species